AUGAUCACUAACUCACAGUGCCCUAUUUGCGGUCUGGAUUGUGAGAGUAUCAGCCAUGCUUUCUUCAAGUGUCAACGUGUUCAAGCUGUCUGGUGUGCACUGGGCAUGGCAAACAGGAUCAACGAGCUUUGCUCCCUCGAAAGGGAAGGUGCGGCAGUGUUGGCUAACCUACUUGUAACUCCUAAUGUACCGGCACAACUGCUUCCGAGUGUUAACUGUAAAGAGUUAAUCGCAACGACAGUUUGGUACCUGUGGUGGGAACGGAGGAAGUUUACGCACGGUGAACAGCUACAGGAUCCUACACGAUCAGCACAAGCAAUUUCGACGCUGUCCAAGAACUUCUCAAGAGCAAAGAAAAAGGGUCCAGGCCAGAUUGAGAGACAUGGAUUGACCAAGCCAAGUGAGGGAUUUGUAAAACUCAACGUAGAUGCCUCUUUUUCUGAGGACAGUGGUUCAGCAUCAUGUAGCGACAUUCGGUUCGUUGAGGACGCGGCGACGGCGGAAGCCCGAGGGCUCCGAGACGACCUCAUUCUGGCAAACGACAUGGGCUGCAACAAACUGGUGAUUGAGGCCGACUGUAUGGAAGUAAUCCAAGUGAUGCAAUCUGGAGGCAACUCGCUUGGACCGGCAACAGCUAUUUAUGAGGAGUGCUUUUAUUGUCGUAAUUUUGCUUCAGUUAGUUUUCAACACUGCCCUAGGGAAGCCAAUAUGGCGGCUGAUAUGUUAGCUACUAUGUCGGAGGACUCGCGAACCAUUGUAUGGCAGUCCGAGUCUCCGGGUUUUUUGUUAGAAUUUUGUCAGAAGAUGUAG
rnacentral:rRNA from 1 species